AGAGUUUGAUCCUGGCUCAGAACGUACGCUGGCGGCACGCCUAACACAUGCAAGUCGAACGCAGUAGCAAUACUGAGUGGCGAACGGGUGAGUAUAAUGUAGGUAUCUGCCUUUUGGUUUGGAAUAACACGAGGAAACUUGUGCUAAUACCGGAUAAGCCUUCACAGGGAAAGUUUUAUACGCCAAAAGAUGAGCCUGCACUUGAUUAGCUAGUUGGUAAGGUAAUAGCUUACCAAGGCUACGAUCAAUAGCUGAUCUGAGAGGAUGAUCAGCCACAUUGGGACUGAGACACGGCCCAAACUCCUACGGGAGGCAGCAGUGGGGAAUCUUGCACAAUGGGGGAAACCCUGAUGCAGCGAUGCCGCGUGAGUGAAGAAGGCCCUUGGGUUGUAAAGCUCUUUCGUCGGGGAAGAAAAUGACUGUACCCGAAUAAGAAGGUCCGGCUAACUUCGUGCCAGCAGCCGCGGUAAUACGAAGGGACCUAGCGUAGUUCGGAAUUACUGGGCUUAAAGAGUACGUAGGUGGUUAAAAAAGUUGGUGGUGAAAUCCCAGAGCUCAACUCUGGAACUGCCAUCAAAACUUUUUAACUAGAGUAUGAUAGAGGUAAGCGGAAUUUCUAGUGUAGAGGUGAAAUUCGUAGAUAUUAGAAAGAACACCGAAUGCGAAGGCAGCUUUCUGGAUCAUUACUGACACUGAGGUACGAAAGCAUGGGUAGCGAAGAGGAUUAGAUACCCUCGUAGUCCAUGCCGUAAACGAUGUGUGCUAGACGUUGGGAAUUUAUUUUUCAGUGUCGCAGCAAAAGCGUUAAGCACACCGCCUGGGGAGUACGACCGCAAGGUUAAAACUCAAAUGAAUUGACGGGGACCCGCACAAGUAGUGGAGCAUGUGGUUUAAUUCGAAGAUACGCGCAGAACCUUACCAACACUUGACAUGUUCGUCGCGACUCUAAGAGAUUAGAGUUUUCGGUUCGGCCGGACGAAACACAGGUGCUGCAUGGCUGUCGUCAGCUCGUGUCGUGAGAUGUUGGGUUAAGUCCCGCAACGAGCGCAACCCUCAUUUUUAGUUGCCAUCAUUAAGUUGGGCACUCUAAAAAAACUGCCAGUGAUAAGCUGGAGGAAGGUGGGGAUGACGUCAAGUCCUCAUGGCCCUUACGUGUUGGGCUACACACGUGCUACAAUGGUACUUACAAUGAGAUGCUAAGACGCGAGUCCAAGCAAAACUCAAAAAGGUACCUCAGUUCGGAUUGCACUCUGCAACUCGAGUGCAUGAAGCUGGAAUUACUAGUAAUCGCGGAUCAGCGCGCCGCGGUGAAUACGUUCCCGGGUCUUGUACACACCGCCCGUCACACCAUGGAAGUUGGUUUCACCUUAAGGCAAAAUGUUAACCCUCGGGAAACAUUUGACUACGGUACGAUCAGCGACUGGGGUGAAGUCGUAACAAGGUAGCCGUAGGGGAACCUGCGGCUGGAUCACCUCCUU
rnacentral:rRNA from 1 species